ACAGUCAGCCAGCUGUUGGUCAUUUGUAACCUCUAUCAUAAUUAGGAAUAUUCACUUCUUCCAAUCAUUUCAGAAAAAGCUUGCUCUCUAACACCUUGCUAAUCCAAAAUAAGCAACAGCUGUGUCCCUAAACCCUAACCAUGAUCUACAUUGCUUUUUUGCCUUCCUGGUGCAGACCACACUGCAGUAGGCCUAGCAUGGCACAUCAAUGUACUUAGCAACUGAUUGUUGACUGAUUAUCAAGUAACUGAUUUCCUGACUCAUGAGCCAUGUCCUGUGCAAGUUUUGAGGGUUGAACCAAAAUAGUUAUUAACAAGACUGAUGGAGGAAGGGGGAACAGCAACCCAGAAUAUUUGGAGACCAGGAAACAGCUGGUGAAACAGUGAACAAGAUGAAGUGGCUCAAAUCUCUAGAAGGAUGUCUGGCUCCCUCAAGACUGUCCCCUGUUUCUCAGGGAUGAGCCUGAUGAGAAUAGAGGCGAGUCAAGGCCAGUACUGCUGCCACUGGGCUGAUGAAGAAACUGAGGUCCAGAGAAGUGCCCAAGGUCAGCUCAUAGCAAAGAGGACCAUGACUUAGAAUUGAUUUUCCUAAUCUGACACCAGAGUUGUCUAUCUGGUGUAAAAGUGCUCCAGGACUCCAAGGACAGCCUAUUCCUGUCUCUACACUGGUCCUCACAUUUGGGAGAAGCAGAAUGACUCUCCUUUGUUUUUUUUUGUUUUUUGUUGUUGUUGAGAAAAAAAUAAAAGAAAACAAAUAAUGUUAUGAAUUUUGCCU
rnacentral:lncRNA from 1 species